CAGGGGCGGCAGCCUACCAUGCAAGUCGAGCGGUAACAGAAAGUAGCUUGCUACUUUGCUGACGAGCGGCGGACGGGUGAGUAAUGCUUGGGAACAUGCCUUGAGGUGGGGGACAACAGUUGGAAACGACUGCUAAUACCGCAUAAUGUCUACGGACCAAAGGGGGCUUCGGCUCUCGCCUUUAGAUUGGCCCAAGUGGGAUUAGCUAGUUGGUGAGGUAAUGGCUCACCAAGGCAACGAUCCCUAGCUGGUUUGAGAGGAUGAUCAGCCACACUGGAACUGAGACACGGUCCAGACUCCUACGGGAGGCAGCAGUGGGGAAUAUUGCACAAUGGGCGAAAGCCUGAUGCAGCCAUGCCGCGUGUGUGAAGAAGGCCUUCGGGUUGUAAAGCACUUUCAGUCAGGAGGAAAGGGUGUGAGUUAAUACCUCAUAUCUGUGACGUUACUGACAGAAGAAGCACCGGCUAACUCCGUGCCAGCAGCCGCGGUAAUACGGAGGGUGCGAGCGUUAAUCGGAAUUACUGGGCGUAAAGCGUACGCAGGCGGUUUGUUAAGCGAGAUGUGAAAGCCCCGGGCUCAACCUGGGAACUGCAUUUCGAACUGGCAAACUAGAGUGUGAUAGAGGGUGGUAGAAUUUCAGGUGUAGCGGUGAAAUGCGUAGAGAUCUGAAGGAAUACCGAUGGCGAAGGCAGCCACCUGGGUCAACACUGACGCUCAUGUACGAAAGCGUGGGAGCAAACGGGAUUAGAUACCCCGGUAGUCCACGCCGUAAACGAUGUCUACUAGAAGCUCGGAACCUCGGUUCUGUUUUUCAAAGCUAACGCAUUAAGUAGACCGCCUGGGGAGUACGGCCGCAAGGUUAAAACUCAAAUGAAUUGACGGGGGCCCGCACAAGCGGUGGAGCAUGUGGUUUAAUUCGAUGCAACGCGAGAACCUUACCUACACUUGACAUACAGAGAACUUUCUAGAGAUAGAUUGGUGCCUUCGGGAACUCUGAUACAGGUGCUGCAUG
rnacentral:rRNA from 1 species